UUUUUUUUACAUAGAGUGUAGAAAUUUAUUUGUUAGUUAGAUAACCUACUAUUUUUAUUGUGUUAAAAAACACAUGUAGAGGAAUUUUAGUCUCAGAAUAAGUCUUCAAAUUUUAUUGUAGUACCAAGUCUAUAAAGCAGUGUGAAACUACAAGUGUGUAUGUUACAUUAGCUUUAGUUGUGUUAUGAGGUUUAAACAAAGCUUGUUAUUGAGUUUGAACAAACUUAGGGUGUUCGCUACUCCGGUUAUUGUCUAUUAAAAAAAAAAUUAGGAUCCUCUGGUUUUAUCCAUGUGCAACCAUGAACAUUUUUGCCGGUAUCUUUACUCUACCGGUUAUAAUUUUAUUACAUAUCGUUUAAAAAAGAAAUUUGAACAUUUGAUAAAAUCUUUGUUAUUUUUUCAUUAUUUGUGAAAAAAAGGUGCCAUAUUGAAUAAAUGAAAAACCUAGAGAGUUUUUCGGUAAAAUUUUUAAUUGCUUAUAUCUCAAAAACGAGGACACUGAACAUUCAGAUGUAUUUAAGCCAUUUAAAAUCUUGUUAUUUUGAAAUAUUAGAGCGAACAUCCUUAAUUCUAAGUAGUUAGAUUACACUACUUGAUCUUACUUUAAUUGGUUCGUGUUAUAACAUGAUAAUUUAUUUAUAAGUUCUGGUAAUUAGAUAUUAUUUAAGUAGUGUGUGUCAUAUCCGGUUUACCGUAUCUUUACAUAUUUUACGAUGAUAAAUCAUUGAACUUUCAACUUAUGUUAUGACAAUAAAAAUUUAAAAAAUACUCUUAUUAAGAAUUUCGAUUUUUCGUUUUCAAUUAAUAAGAGAAGAAAAAAAAUCAUUCAGAACGUUUUAUGCUUCCAUAAGUUAUGCUUCCAAAAGAUUUAAGCAAAAAGCAAAAUUAAAGUUUCAUCUUUUUCGCUUCUACAAGAUCAUAUAAACAAUUUUUUAUGCUUGAUGCCUCAUCUAUUUCUUAAAUCUUAAUAUACAAGUGUUUAUAACAUACGUCGUUGCGAAGAAGGUCAUUCGAAAUUUAAGAAAUUGAUUUCUGUAAUACGUGCAGCUUUUUUUGUCUUAUAAUCAUCGGUUGACACUAAGAAAAAGUAAGAAUGCACUUUUUUGUCUGCAAAUUUCAAAAUUCUUAUCAAACAAGAUUUUUUUUAUUCUUGUUUAAACGACAAAUUAAACUUAAAAAGAAUGUAGAACAAAAUAUUAUAUGUAUGACACAACAAAUAAUAAAGUC
rnacentral:lncRNA from 1 species